GUGCUUGCUUUGGCAGUACAUGUACUAAAAUUGGAAAAACACAGAGAAGAUUAGCCUGGCCCCUUGCACAAGGGUAACACGCAAUUUCAUGAAGCGUUCCAUAUUUUU
rnacentral:snRNA from 1 species